CAAGAGGGAAACGAGAAAAAAGCAACCCUAAACCUGACUAGAACGGAACCCUCGCCAUGAUAAUAAUUAAUACUCCCUUUAGGUUAAAAAUUUCUCUAAAAAUAUAAACUCAUAUUAGCUAAAAGAUAGUAGAUGACAAAUUUAUGAUUCUUUUUAUUCAAAAUUACCAAAAUUGGAAAUCAAAGCAGAAGGUUUAAUAAAUGGACCAGGAAUAUCUUUUGAACAUCAGUCACUAACAGACAAGAUAUGAGAGCACCCUUGUGGAUAGAAUUGGACCGUUGGCUAUUGUACUAAAAUCCAAGCAAAUUAACAUGCCUGAACAAUACGAAAUUGCAUCAUAUAAGAAAUAGUAGUAGCCGAAACAACUGACAUAGCUAGAUCAUCAUCAAAAGAAGAGGCUUCCUUUCGUUCUCAAGUAACGGCGAAUCGCGUGCGGAAAUUGAAUUGUUUCAUUUUCAAAGAAAAAAUGAAGAGAACCAAAAAGUGAGAUUCAGUUUCCAGAAAAGUGAAAAUGCUAACCGCAGACUUCAUUCAACAUUUUCUUCCUCAUAAAGUUGCCGAUUGAAG
rnacentral:lncRNA from 1 species